rnacentral:lncRNA from 1 species
CAAACGCCAAACCCUCCUCUUUUCCCCAACUCUUCCCUCCUUUCUCUCUCUCUCUCUCUCUCUGAGAUUCUCGGAGGCGCAAAACUCAAAAACACACGAAAACAAAUAAACGCCUCCGUCCAAAUCCUUUAUCCCUUUACUUCUCCUUCCCCAAACCCUAAAGCUCCUCCGAUGGCCACGGAUCCUACCCAGCAGCAGCAACAACUGGCCAUAAUUCUGGGCCCCGACCCGACCCACUUCGAAACCCUAAUAUCUCAUCUUAUGUCCUCCAGCAACGACCAACGAUCCCAGGCCGAAGCCCUCUUCAACCUCUGCAAGCAGGCCCACCCGGACGCCCUCCUGCUCAAGCUCCUUCACGUCUUGCAGUCCUCGACCCGACCCGAGUCCAGGACCAUGGCCGUCAUCCUCCUCCGCCGCCAGCUCACCCACGAUGACUCCUUCCUCUGGCCCCGCCUCACCCCCAACACCCAGUCCACCCUCAAGUCCCUCCUCCUCUCCUCUCUCCAAUCCGAGUCCUCCAAAUCCAUGUCCAAGAAGCUCUGCGAUACCAUUUCCGAGCUCGCCUCCUCCGUUCUCCCCGAAAACCAGUGGCCCGAGCUUCUCCCUUUCAUGUUCCAGUGCGUCACCUCUGACAAUCCCAAACUCCAGGAAUCGGCUCUCUUGAUUUUCGCCCAAUUGGCGCAUUACAUCGGCGAAACCCUCGUUCCUCACUUGACUACCCUCCACGAGGUCUUCUUCCGGUGCCUGUCUACCUCCGCCAAGAGCGCCGACGUCAGAAUCGCUGCCCUCGGGGCGUCAGUGAAUUUCAUCCAGUGCUUGACUAGUGCGGCCGAGAGGGACAGGUUCCAGGACUUGUUGCCGCUGAUGAUGCAGACGUUGACCGAGGCGUUGAAUUGCGGGCAGGAGGCGACUGCGCAGGAGGCUCUGGAGUUAUUGAUUGAAUUGGCAGGGACUGAACCGAGGUUCUUGAGAAGGCAGUUGGUGGAUGUGGUGGGGUCCAUGCUUCAGAUUGCCGAGGCCGAGUCCUUGGAGGAAGGGACAAGGCAUCUGGCCAUUGAGUUUGUGAUUACCUUGGCCGAGGCCAGGGAGAGGGCACCUGGGAUGAUGAGGAAGUUGCCGCAGUUCAUUCAGAGGUUGUUUGCGAUUCUCAUGAACAUGUUGUUGGACAUUGAGGAUGAACCUGAGUGGCACGCUGCCGAUACAGAGAAUGAGGAUGCCGGGGAGACAAGCAAUUACGGGUUUGGACAGGAGUGUUUGGAUAGGCUCUCUAUUUCCCUGGGUGGGAAUACCAUUGUCCCAGUUGCUUCAGAGGUUUUCCCGGCUUUCUUGGCUGCUCCCGAGUGGAAAAAGCACCACGCCGCACACAUUGCCCUUGCUCAGAUUGCCGAGGGUUGCUCCAAGGUAUAAAUAACUCAUCCUUCGCUUUUGUGUUGCCAAUGUUGGAGCUUCUGCUUUGUGUAUAAGCGCUUACUUGAUUAGUUAUGUAUGUGAGCCGUGGACAGUAAUGUUAACGUGAGCCAUGGACGCAUUUGAUAUUGUAUUUUUCUUCAGGAUGAUUAGUCAUUACUGUAGGUGAUCUAAUGCCUUUCAUACACAGCUUCAUAAUGAAAUAACUUCUCACUUUAUUUAUGCAUGUAUUCCUCUGCUGGCUAUAUUAUUCUCUUCCGAGUGGCGUGCUCUAACAUUUGUACUUAUUGGCGCAGGUAAUGAUAAAGAACCUUGAACAGGUCGUGUCAAUGGUGUUGAAUUCAUUCCAAGAUCCCCAUCCGCGUGUGAGAUGGGCAGCAAUUAAUGCAGUUGGGCAAUUGUCAACGGAUUUAGGCCCAGAGUUACAAGUCCAGUAUCACCAGCGAGUGCUGCCUGCUUUGGCUGGAGCCAUGGAUGACUUCCAAAAUCCUCGAGUACAGGUUUGUAACACUGUCCUGUACUCAAUAGUAGGGCUUCCUUUCCCCAUCUUGUAGGGCUGUAUGUUCUUUUAACCCAACACCUCCUGCUUGAUAAAAUAAUGUUUAAUCAUCUUCAUUUUCAGUACUCUCAUUUUUGCUGCUGUCUUGGUAAAAUUUUAUCCUUCUUGUAAAGAUGAACUGAUUAGGCUAUGAUAUAUAGUAAUUUUGGAAAACCAAGCAUAAUUCAUGUAACUAUAUAUUUCGGUAACGGUGUCAUUGAAUGUUGAUUCUUAAUUUAGAUAAUAUGGUUCUGCAAAAUGAAUUGAUACCUGAUUCUUUGUAUGUUUUGUUAAUCACAGAAAUCAUAUUAAUUUAAUGUCUCCUAUUUUUUUGAGGGCAUAAUUGUUUUUUUUUUGUUUUUUUUGUUUUUUUUGCAGUUUCAUUUAUUUAUUUGUAAAUAACAACUUGCACACUAAUGCAUUUAUAAAUAUCUCCAAUACAGAAAAUUUCAUGCAACUGCAAAAUGUGAACCAUACAUUCUUAGGAAAAGAAUUAUAUGUUAUCUACAAUAAUAUUAUGCUCAUCCGACAAUAUGUAUCUCUAGCUCCUUCUUCAUGCUUCAAACAGAUGAAUUAAGCAUGCAACUUGAAAACAUCUUAUGCAUGUUUAGAUAAGGUUAGAAUCCUGAGCCUGAGAUGGCGGGUAUUUGGGCUUUACAGAACUUUAAUGGCACACAUCCUAAAACUUAUUUGGGCAUGAGUUCUGGAAAAAAUUUUUGUUUUUUUUUCAUCUUCAAAUGUCUGCUUCUGCAUUUUUUGGGAUGGUAGUAUUCCCCAUUCCCUCCUUGUUGAAGUACAUGUAUGGAAGAGUUCCCUUUAGGUUUGUCCUAUAAGUUUUGUGCAUGUUCUCCAUGAAAUUGCACUAACAGUUGAAACUAUGUUUUAAUUUUACAAGCAGUUUUGUGUUGACUCAAGUAUAUCCUUAAAAUCAUUAAAUUCAUUGAGUGGUGGCAAAAUCGCUACAUACGAUUAAUUUCUUGUUUAUUUAUACGUAGACACACCCUCUCCGUAGUUCUUGAUUUUCUAGACAUUUAUGAGUGAUGACAUUGAUGCUUCUGGUUUCACUCUGCACAUCAACUUGAUGGUUUUUCUUUAUUUCUAUGUUACAGGCCCAUGCUGCUUCAGCAGUACUCAAUUUCAGUGAAAAUUGCACCCCAGAUAUUUUGACACCAUACCUGGAUGGAAUUGUGAGCAAGCUUCUUGUACUUCUACAGGUACAUAAUCUUCCUAUUCAGCAAUUUCACAUAGAGAAUAUGUUUUUGGUGUAUAUGCUGGCAGAAGAUGUAUAUAUUAGUAUAUAAAUUAAAAGUGAUUGGUUGGUGAAACCACUUCAUAUUGGUACAAGAGCUGUAGUGGAAAAAUAUGUUGUAUCAGAUAAAUAUUGUGAUUAAUCAUUGCAUUCAUGGCUCUUUGUUUAGUCACUUUCAUAAUGUGAUGCAGUUAAUGUUUUAGUUAGGCAAUGAAUGGUUGUUCAUAUUUUGACUUUUGGUAGUUGCAAAGGAAACAUGGACUGGAGAACCUGAUUUUUUUGAAAAUAACACAGACCAGGGAAAAGAUGCUAGGGAAGAAACCAUGGAUAAGGAGCUGACCAAGAAUAGAAUUAAAAGACUGUUUUUAUGGUAGAAUAAGAUUGAUGGUUCUUUUAAGUUUAAGAAAAAGGAUUUUUGAGAUUUUUGAUUUUUAUUGUGUUUAGUCAGAAUGUCAGCAAUAUAAAUGGGAAAACAUCUUGUGGUGAGGCAGAGAAAAUAAAAGAGAAUAAGUUAAUGAGGCUUAUGACGGUGAUUAAGUUGAAAUUGAAAGCCAUUGAGUUAAAAAUUCGAAGAAAUAUCUUGCUUAACCUCUUUCCUUUGGUGUGGAGAAUCUUUCUCCUUCUUGGUGCAAAGGCGUACUUGCAUUUUUGAACUUAUAUGUUUUAUAUUUUUGUGUCCCAGAAUGGGAAGCAGAUGGUGCAGGAGGGUGCUUUAACAGCUCUAGCUUCAGUUGCCGAUUCGUCACAGGUACUUGCAUUUUAAAAUCCAUUAUUAGGUUGCCAAUUUCAGUUUAUUUAAGAACACAAUGAUCAGAUUUGACAUUUGUAUUUGUAUUUGUAUUUGCAGGAGCAAUUCCAGAAGUAUUAUGAUGCUGUAAUGCCUUACUUGAAAGCUAUCUUGAUUAAUGCUAAUGACAAAUCCAAUCGCAUGCUACGUGCCAAAUCCAUGGAGUGUAUUAGUUUGGUUGGAAUGGCUGUUGGAAAGGAUAAGUUCAGGGAUGACGCUAAGCAGGUGACGAUAAAUAACAUGUUAUACAUUAUCCUUGGUUUCAGAUUAAUGAUGAGAGAGAUCCACUAUUUAUUUAUUUAGUUAUUUAGCUGAUAUUCUGUUUGGUUAUUGAAAUAAUGGUGGCCCUAUUGUUUUGUUUUGUUUGGGAAGAUUAUGGAAGUCUUGAUGUCAUUGCAAGGAUCUCAAAUGGAGGCAGACGAUCCUACAACAAGUUACAUGUUACAAG